GAGCUUGUGGCUCAAUGGUAGAGCAUGCCCAAGGCUCUGGGUUUGAUUCCUAGCACCAUCA
rnacentral:tRNA from 1 species